GGGGGAGGGGAGGUAAAGCGGAUCCCGCCCCUUUUCUCCCCGCCUCCCUACCCCCGCGCGCGCGCGCAGCCAAUUGCCUCCUACAUCGGAAGGUGGCGUAGAGAAGAGCCAAUCCGGGGCGUCAGGGGCGAAGAAGCGCCCGCCCCUGAGACGAGAGGGAGGGAGGGAGAAAAGAGAGGAAGCUCGCGCAUGCGCGCUUCUCCCCGUCCUGGGCUGCGCGAGCUGUAAACGGCCGGUUUCUUUUCCGCGACUGGCGGGAGAGGGAAGGAGGAAGCCACGCCCCCUUUCUUUGCCAUUGGUUCCUCCGGCGCUUGCUGGGGAAUUCUGGGAGUUGAAGUCCAGACCUCUUUAAAGCGGCAGAGAUGGAGAACUGCAGCCCUGGAUCGCAAAGCUCUUACACAGACGGCGUCCAACUUGGCAGCUUGGAAGACUUGUGGACUUCAACUCCCAGGAUUCUCCAGGCAGCGCGGCCCCUGACCAGCGGGAGCCCAAAGCUGCACCGCCCACAUCCCCCUGCCUGCCUGCCAGCUCCCACCCCCACUCCAGAUUCGAAUGGUUUCCAUGAUGAGUGAAAAAAAACCCACCAGAAAACCUCUGGUGGCUCAGACUGAUUCCCAAAAAUGCUUUGACAUUAUAUAUGUUGACAGCAGCAAGACUAUUGUAUGCCCAAAAAUGGAAGGACACUUCGAUUCCCACCAAGGACGAAUGGCUGCAGAAGUUGAUGGAGUUGGCUGAAAUGGCCAAAAUUGACUAUUUUGAUUAAGGAAAAGAAUAUAAGUGCUUUUGUUUCCACAUGGAGACCAGAUUGCUUCUGAACUUUGUGCUUGAAGUGGAAAAGAAUGAAACUUUGAUUUUGGGUUUUACCAAUUAGAUUGAUAGAUCUUUAUAGAAAUGGCUUGUUCAUAUUAUUGUGGAAAACCAAAAAGUUGUGUUUGAUGUUAAUUAUGCCUUAUUUUACUUCAACAGAAAGAGUCAGAAGUCAAAGUUUCUUUUUCUCUUAUCUUCCCUCACUUCUCUUCCCCUCUUCCCCCGCACUGCUUUCCUAUUUACUUUCGUAUUUUGUAUCUUAUUUUAUCUUACAACUUAAUAAAAAUGUUAAAUUGCUAACUGAUAAAUGAAAUAAAUUUAAGACCA